rnacentral:lncRNA from 1 species
UGUGAGGAGGCUGAGGCACUGGACCAGGUUGCUCAGGGAAGUUGUGGCUAUCCCAGCCCUGGAAGUGUUCAAGGACAGGUUGAAUGGGGCACUGAGCAGCCUAGUCUAGUGGAAGGUGUCCAUGCCCAAGGCAAGGCAGUUGGAACUAGAUGGUCUUUAAGGUCCUUUCCAACCCAGGCCAUUCCAUGACUCCAUAUUUCUAUGACUAACAGCAGGUUUAGAGCAUUUUAAAGGAAAGCUUUCUUCCUGAUCUCUACUUCUACUUGGUACUGGGUGGAAUGAAGUGAAAAAGAAAUAUUUCUUUCACUUAAAAGGGAGUAAAUAUCAUAUCUAAAUAUAUGUGUGAAUGAAUACCAGAUCUUUUAACUUUAAUGCUCUUGCAGUUUCUCUCUCCCAAUAGCUGGAGUCCUGAAUUAGUCAUACUUGCUUCAAGCAGUCAUCAAGAUAUUUGCUUUUGACAGUAAAGACAGCAGCUUAAAAAGGCUUGCACAGGCUCUGAGUGCCAUGCACCAUAUUUACAAAAAACUUGGAUAGCCACAGCUACAAAAGAAUGAUCUGCAGUAUCACUGACCAAUGCUCAGUGAGCAGACCUCUUUUAUUCACGAAAAAUGUCUGCAAAUUGGUCUCUCUAUCAUUUUAAUCACCUCUCUGAUUAAAUAUAUUUUUAAAAUUCCCAUGUACUUCCCUCCACAUCAUUCUGCUGGAAACAAAAUAGCUUAUAAACCUCUCAAAGCUGCAGUCUGUGCAUUUCCCAGAGCUGGCCCAGCACUGACAGGAAAACAUCACCAGUGAUUAUUUCUGUGAUCUGUCCCAGUGAUUCCAAGAGCCAAAAAUUCAGUUACAUGUCUCCUAUGAGUGACUUACAGGCAAACCCAUCUUAAAUAAGUAAUAAAUGUGGAUAGUUUGGAACAAUUUGUAAUGCCAUUUGUUAUUGAAAGGGCGAAAAAGAGAAGUAGGUAUUGCUAGUGUUCAACAAAAUUACAUUUUAUCUGAUUUUUUAAUCUUAAUCAGCUGAUGUUGACUUUGAUCAGACUCAGCCACUGACUGUCCUUUUGUUCUCUUCCAAAACUUACUGGAUAUUCUGCUUUAAAGACCACUGCUGUGAUCUGAGGAGUAGUAGGUCGUAGCUGCCUGAAGGUGCUGCUUGAUCAAAGUCAGGAGACUACAUAUUUACCUUUCUGCUUUAGCCCUGAACCUGGAUAGGCACAUUCUCUAGCUUCAGCACCAACUCUGGGCUUGGUUUCUUUCCUUCAAAAGGCUCACUGUUUAUAAUGCAAUGCAAUGUUGUAACAAAGCACAAUAUAGCAUGGAAUGUAAUUGAAUAUAAAGACAUAUGCCCUGGGCUAAUAGGAGCUGUGAAUAUUAGCUUUUGAACUACUACAAUUUUUAAAUGCAUUAUUUUAGAAAUACUACAUGUCAGGUGUGCCCACACAGUUCCUUUUGUUAACUGCAGAAAAGAUAUUAUAUGAUAUUUGCUUCAGAGAAGUAGCUGAGAUAUUCUGCAAAAGUAAAGUACUAUAACUUUUGUACUUAUUUGAAAAAAACCCAUAUUUUUUGCUUCAGUGUAAAAAGCUUUGCAUGUUCAAAACAUUUAAUUCUGAUUUGAAUUUGAGUUGCCACUUUCCCCAGCUAUUUAUCCUGAUCCUCAUGAGCUGUCAGGGAUGAAUCACUCUGCCAAGAAGCCAUCCUCCUGGAGGAUAUAAGCAAGGUUUUCCUCUGAGCCAAGAGCUCCGGGGUGCACAGGAAUGAAGCAGGCUCUGUUUUCCCUUUGCAGACUCACAAUGAUCCUGGAUGCCACUGACCCUGUGAGAAAAAGUCAUGAACUCAAUCCAGAAUCCUGAGACACCCGGCCAGCUCCUUCAGCCGUUUCAGUGGGGCCUUUUAAGUUAAAGAAUUUGUUUAUAGUAAUAUUUAUCCCUCGCAGACAUUUUCCUGAGGGAGUCUCUCUCAUACUUCUGCUCAUUUGAUUAGUUUCCAUAGUGACACUUAUUUGUAGAGUUUAGAGUUGCUCAUAGCAGGUUUCUGCAAAUGCCAGCCACAUGCAUGCCAUGUUAAUAAGACAAAGUCAGUUCUGUUUCUUUCCCUUUGUGCUCUGAUUUUGCUUUUCAGUUAGGAGCAUCCUUGGGGGGGAAAAAAAAGGUGGUUGGGGGCUGGCUGCUUUGGACACAGGAUCCAGGACCUGUUAGUUUACUAUUCUGGAUGAUGUUUUUGACUGGACUUGUUCUGUUUGAAUUGCAGUAGCAGCCUCUGAAGGAUUGUCUGUCUGCGUGAGCUAUUAUAUAAGCUGGGGAAACCUUCCAUUACUGCAAGGUCUCUAGACUGCUCCUUUAUUUAAAAUGCAGAAUUAUGAGAAAAAGCAAUUCACUUGAGUGGUGCCUUGUAGGUUGCCUUUUAUCCCCGGCUGAAGUAAGACUUUGCUUUUCUUGUAGGGGAGUUGCUACUAUCCUAAAAAUAGAAGGCAAAAAUCAAAUACAAGUUCAUGUACACACACACACAUCUUACCAGCGUGCCUGUCUGUGGAAGGGAUAAACAAAACAUCUGCAAUAAGUGAAUGAGAGGAGAUUUACACACUGACAAUUGACAAGCAUUUUCAGGAGCAUGGUUACAUAAAAACAUGUAGCAAUCCUCUGAUCCACUGUAGCAAUCACAGCAAAUUCAUAGCAGAACAGAAGAAAGCUAGGAAGAAAAGAAGUUACUGUUUAUGAGCCAUGGAUAGGUAUCCCCACUAGACAGGCACCCCCAAAGGACAAAUUCCAGAAUUCAGAUAUUAGAUCAUUUUUUUCUCUAAUUCUGGGGGAGAAUAAGAAGUAGAGGGAAGACUAGAUUUGACAAGCAUUUUGUCACAUUGACUGUUAGAUCUCUUAUGUUUCUUGCAGAGACUGCUAGGCUUCUCAGGACAGUUUGACACAUUUCUUUCAGCAAGACACUGGAAGAUUGUUUGAGCCAUGGAUAUUUAUGCAUAAAAAAAGGCAACAAACAAUUGCUGGAGUUCAUAAUAACAUAUGGCUAGAGGAAAGACAAGGAAAACCACUCCUGGGAGACCAGAGGAAUGAUUCUUAUCUUGCACAAUGAAGAAAACAAAGAACUCUCUGAAGCCACAGAAAUUAACCUAGGGUAAAUGUGAUGUGAGUCCUGCUGGACUCUGGCCCUGGAGUUCACAGCAAUCUUGAAUGUACUGCUGAGGUGGAGCCAGAGGAAACAGGCAUGUGGUGAAAGGGCUCUCCUGCCCUACACAAGGGGAAGUGCCAACCUCCAAAGCGCAUCCCACAGCAGCCUUUAACUCUCCGUAAUGUAAAAGAGGAUUUAUAAAUUUCAUUAAGAUAAAUCAAUAAAGUCAUACUACAAAAUAAUUGUUAAAAGUGGUUGAUUAUUUAAUGAAAAAUGAAAAUAAGAGGAAAAAACCCUGUUUUCCUCAGGAGAAUUUUAAGGUAAAAAGUAAUAACUGUAGAAUGAGUGCUAAAAUUUUAAAGACUGAGUUUCCUCCCCCUCUAGUCUUUGCAAAAGUAUUCAGUGGAGGAAAAGAAGAAAUCAGGUUUAGAAAAUAAACCUUCUUGAUAUCACAUUGUGAUAAUUUUAAGAGCUAGGCAACCAUGCCCUGUAGCAGUUCCAGCAUCGGGAAAGAGCCACCAGAUUAUGAGUUCUGUGUGAUGCAGUCAGCCUUCAGGAACACUGCAAAGAGGAGGAGAAAAUGUCCUCAAAAUCACCCCAUGCUAUUCAAUAGGAUUAAUAAAUAGGAUUAAUAGGAUUUACUGGGGAAACUCUUCAACUAUGUCUCAGUUAGUCAGAUGGUGGCUGGAGGUGAAAUCUUUCCAAGAAAUCAAAUGAAAUCUCCUUUGAAUAUGAUUACUGGUCUAAGAACAGUUCUCUCUCUAUUUAGGUUGCCUAAUUCUCCUUUUAAAAAAUAUUUAUGAAUUGUUUUAGUUUGUAGAUGCCCUUAGAAGUUUGAGAGGGAGAAAGUCCUGUGAUUAGAUAAGCACAUUGUCUUUCCAUUUAGAUUUGAUUGAGAGAUUAAGCCCGACAGGAAGGAAAUGAUGAUUUUUUUUUUAGUAGCAUAGUGAACAAAAUAAUGGCAGUGUGUCAAAAACAACAGGUUAAGAUGAAAAAUCUUGUCUAGGACUGACUCUGUGCAAGCAUGAAGCACAGAGGCACUGAGAAGAACAGAUGGCUUCUCUGGAAGAGAAGGAGGGAGAGCAUGGCCAAGCUCCUUGGACUCAUCCACCCUCCAGAUAAGGUGUGUGCACCCAGGCCGAGCGGCAGGGGCUGUGCUGGGGUUGCUGCGUGGUCGCUUUGGCAGGCAGUCAGUGUGCUGUAGAGCAAAACACUGGUUUGCAAUUCAAGAGGCAUUCACUUGAAAUCCCGUCUCUAAAUCAGGUUGUAACUACAGACAUUUAGCCCCUUUUACCCAUUUGUGCCAUCAAACCUGUAAUGUUCUUUUCCUGUGAUGGGGAUCAUACAUUUGUGUGGCACAAAGGAAUGUGAGUAGUGUAAGAAAGACCUUGAGGAAACAAGCAACUCUGUUUUAGUUGCUUGCACUGGGUGGAUCACUGGAAAGAAAUAUGCUCUACUAAUUAAAAGAUAAAGGAUAAAAAUAUCAAAUGCCUUCCUCAUUAUAUGAGCAUCAGUCAGGAGAUGAGUGGAGGCAGGGAACAGUAAUGAUACACACAUGUAGGCUAGCAGUGUUUAUAACUGUGGGUUUUGAAUCUGUUCCUAUUUACCUUGGUUUCCCAAGGAAGUGAGACUUAUGGAAGUGCUCUGUCAGUCUGUCCAUCCAUCAAUAUUUCUAUGGUUUCCCUCCUGUAAUUUCUGAACCUGGCUAAAUUCCACCAGUUCAGACAGGAAAUCAUGAAGCUAUGAAAAUCAGCGUGUGGGCAAAACCCAGAAUCUUUCUGACUGUCCUGCCUCUGGCAAGGGCUGCAGUGGGAACUCCAGAGCAGCUUUUUCAGUGUGGUUUGCCAUGUAGCUCACCAACACAGGCACUGUCUGGCCAGUCAGCAUGGCUGUGUCUCAGACACCGUGUGUGCUGCCUCUUGGUGAGCAGGGGGCAGGACACACAUCUCUGGGAGACCAGACAUCACUAGGUCUUGGACUGUUCACUGAUUUCCAAUUAGGAGGCGCAUCUAUAUAAAGAAUACAGAUUUAGGAGAUUUUAUUAUCAUGCAAAACUGAUAAGACAACAUUAUUAUUUUUCAAAGUAUUUUGGCAUUUGUAUCUAUUGACUCAUGGCUGUUGACUGAUUCAUGGUUGUUGACAGAUUCAAUGGGCUAAGACUGCAUUUACUCUACUGCAGUGAAGAAAUGAUUUAAACUGCUCA